CACUCAGCUUUCUUUAUAGUCCAAAUCUCACAUCCAUACAUGACCACUGGAAAUACACUACAUGUGUUAGUGUUGUAUAAGCUGUUAGUUUUCAGGAAUUAUUGGGAAACCUCUAAUUAUAACCAUUUGCUAUUAGGGAAUAUGUGGUUUGGUAAAUAAGAGAUAUUUCUUAUUUUAGGAAGUUAUAAUAAGGAAAUAUGGGGCGAGAUUAGGUGCUAAAAUCAGCACUUUGCAAAUUCUUGUUGAAUUAAUGAAUAAAGGAAGAAAGAAAUGAUUGUCAAAUUAUUUCCCAAAUCUCAGUAAGGAUUCUCUAGCCAGAGUGAACUUAAAUCUAAUUCAAAUCAUCUUAUGAUACGUUGAAAAAGUACUCAGUGCUUUCCAUUUCAUUGCUUAAAAACUCACCUUUUAUCCAUGCAUUCCCCACCCUGUGUGAUUUGUCCUUUGCCACUUUUCCCUGUUGUCUUAUGUCAUUCUUCCUCCUUGAGUGUUUCGACACAUCCAACUUUUUGCUAAUUCAAGAAUUUUUCAUACCUUGUUCUGCUGGGGACUGGCUCCUUCUUAAUCUGGCCCUUUCACUUAAUGGCCCUGUGACUCUGUCUCUUUUCGGUUCGAAUUCUGCUCCCCUGCCUCCUAGUUCUGUGACCAUGAACAAAUCACUCAGUCUCUCUAUGCCUCAGGUUUGUCCAUCUAUCAAAGUUAGCAGUAGCAUCUUCCUCAAAGGAGUGCAUAAGGAAUGCAUACAGAUUAAUGAAAAACGUGCUGAGAAUGCUGCCUGCCACACACUAAAAACUUGAGACUGUACUGGCAUCUCUGAGCAAAAUUCUGCUGAAGAACCUACGCCCUGGUAUGGGACAUGUGUUAUCUGCCUGGGGAGCUGUCUUACUCAUCUGAAAGAAAACUGACGUUUUUGCUGAAUGUAGCCAGCUCUCAUUCUGAAGUUUGAUUCCAUGUAGAGCAAGUUAGUUGGCUUCUAUCAUGGUGACUCAAGGCUGCUAAGAGGAUACAAAUAGAGACUUCUAGUCCUUAAAGCUUAAACCCAGAACAUUCUCAAAAACAUUGUUGUGUUCAUGUACAUAUUCAACAUUGAAUGGGACUCCACAAGGGCAUGGAUGUGAUGAAAAGUGCUGGGAUCAACUUUGAAGAGUAGUUAUCAUGAAAAUGGAAACCACUUUUAAAGGAAUCCAUGGAUGGUUUUCAAGAAAAAUACCAACUGCUUAAAAUAUGUAAUUUUUCAACCUAUGCUGUCCACAUUUUCUAGAAAAGAAGGAGGUGAUACAAUCAGAUUUUCAAAGAAGUUCUGCAAAUCUCAAAGGGCUCCAUUUUCAUCAAGAACUUUAUUGGACAAUGUGUUCACCGUUCUGCUCCAUUACCUCUGCCACUCUGCAGGCAACUUCAUAACUCCGUCUUCCCAAAACUUCUUUUAUAAUCUUUCAUGGACUUGAGUGUUUUCUUAUUAAGAGAAUUAUGUAAAGACCAAAAUAAAUGAAAAUCCAAGGGUGCAAUAUCUGGUAAAUAAAGCAAAUGAGUCAGAACUUCUCA